CGGGGUGAGUAACGCGUGGAUAACCUGCCUUGCACUGGGGGAUAACACUUAGAAAUAGGUGCUAAUACCGCAUAAGCGCACAGAGCCGCAUGGCUCAGUGUGAAAAACUCCGGUGGUGUAAGAUGGAUCCGCGUCUGAUUAGCUAGUUGGCGGGGUAGAAGCCCACCAAGGCGACGAUCAGUAGCCGGCCUGUGAGGGUGAACGGCCACAUUGGGACUGAGACACGGCCCAAACUCCUACGGGAGGCAGCAG
rnacentral:rRNA from 1 species